rnacentral:lncRNA from 7 species
GAGGAGGAGGAAAGGCAUGGCUCUAGAAAGAAGGAGAUUGGCCCUGAUCUGUAAGAGAAAUUACCAGAGAGUUGAUCUGCAGUAUGUGAAGUAACAUGAAGUACCUGUCCUAUUCUGGGCAGGCGGAGGAUUUAGCUGUUAUUUCCGAGGAUACUUUAGAAUGAGAAGAAACACGAAGUCUCCAGUGUUCAAUUAAGCUAUUCAGAUACCGAUCAAGAAACAAUCCAAGAGCACUUAAAGAGCUCCAUGUAUAACACUGAUUGCUUACUGGUGCUGAUAAUGCCAUGUGGAACCAGAGCUAUUUGGCAUGGCUGAAAAUCAAAUCCACAUUAUUGAUUACCCUCAGACUCUUUAGCAGACCUGCACCCUCAUGGCCUCUUUGCAUACGUUUUUUUUUUUUUUUUUUUUUUUUGACAUUUAACAGGCACGAGAGUUGAAGAAAGACAGACAGGAAACAGCAAAAUAAAACUGUGAAAUGCAUCUAGUCUCACAUGUUAAAAAAUAAAUAUUUUUUAAUGAAAAGUUAUACCAUAUAUUUUCCCAGAUUCAAAGCAUUAUAUCAGAUCAAAAUGAGAGUGAACCCUCUGCUAUUCUCUGUAAACCUGGAUGGAAGAUUUCCCUACCUUGUCAGUUUUGGUGCACCACCUCUUUCCAGGUAUGACCCUGCCAGCACCCAAUAUCCAUCAGAUAUAAGCCUCAUUUCCGGACUUCUUUUUACACUUUCUUCCUACCUGGAGAGGAUGCUUUUCCCAGCGUUGCCUUGCAAUGAGAAAGUCACUCAACUGCUGUGGAGUAUCUUCUUGAAAUCUCCAGCAUCACAGCUCAGCCCAGCAGGAGCAAAUAUCUGUCAGGUUCCUCUUUGAAACUCUCCUACGCUGAGAAGCCAGAGAAGAAGCCUUUAGCUGGGAAGGCUGACCAAUAGUACAGCUUUUGCCUUUUUUGCACUGCAACUUUUUAAUCUGCUCUGUACGGUACCAUGCAGCCCCUGGUCCUGGCCAUGCCUAAGGCCUCCAAACAAUUCAAUAAUACAAAUACCAAGAAUACACAUAAUGAAUGUAACCCAGCCAAAAAUAAACACACAGAAGUGAGCAGGUGGAAGGAAGGGAAGAGCUUAUGAGAUUUUCACAUCUCUGGAAAUCAUUCCAAAAUGUCUUGCUUUAAAGAUUUGCUCUGCAUGAUAUACUAUGCAUUAGAGUAGCAACUAAUCCAGUAUGGAAGGGUUUCAUGACAAAUUCAAAUUGAACCAUUAAAUAUUUUUCUAUUAAAAAUUAUUACU